GAUAAAAGUGUCAUUUGGGAUUUAGGUUCCCAUCAAGAGAGAAAGGAAAGAUGUUUUGAAUGUGAAUGGUACAUGAGAUUAAAUGAAUGUGAAUUGUAAUUAGUAUGACUAUUACGAUGAAUGCAUAAAUUACCUAGAAAUGUGAAUUUGGAAAUUAUGUUUCCAUUAUAAACAAAAUUAGAAUGCUAUAAAAUAUAUAAAC
rnacentral:misc_RNA from 1 species